GGGGGCCUAGCUCCGCUGGAUGAGUGACUGCAUUGGGGUGCGUUGUCCGGUGUUAUAGCCUCCUUCCCUCUCC
rnacentral:tRNA from 1 species